UACGGAGGGUGCAAGCGUUAUCCGGAUUCACUGGGUUUAAAGGGUGCGUAGGCGGGUUGGUAAGUCAGUGGUGAAAUCUUCAAGCUUAACUUGGAAACUGCCGUUGAUACUAUCAAUCUUGAAUAUUGUGGAGGUAAGCGGAAUAUGUCAUGUAGCGGUGAAAUGCUUAGAUAUGACAUAGAACACCAAUUGCGAAGGCAGCUCGUUACACGAAGAUUGACUCUGAGGCACGAAAGCGUGGGGAUCAAACAGG
rnacentral:rRNA from 1 species